rnacentral:ncRNA from 1 species
AAAGUUUGAUUCUAGCUUACAAAUUGAUUUAUUUUUUGUAAUAACACAUGCAAAUUUCUAAACACCGUGAAAUAAUAUAAUAAUUUUAUAUUAUAAAAUUAUUCUUUUAUACUAAAUUUUAUAGAAUAUUUUAUUCACGUCUGCAGUGAUUAAUCCUUAAUUAUAAAUGAGAGUUUGAUUAGGCAAUAAACUAAUUUGAUUGGCCAAAUCUGUGCCAGCAGUCGCGGUUAGACAGAAGAUCAAAAUCAAUAAUCUUGGGGUUGUUAAUAGAGAAUAAUAACUAUAUUUAGGGUUCAAUCUUUUUAUACUCCUUUACUUAUAUUCUCUUAGCUUAAUACGAAAGUAUAGACAAAAACAAGGAUUAGAUACCCUUUUAUUUUAAACUUUAAACUUUUACCAGGGCACUACGAACACAUGUUUAAAACCCAAAGAACUUGGCGGUACUUUAACCUCCUAGGGGAGCCUGUUAAUUAAUUCGAUAAUCCACGUUUACCUUACUUAUAUUGGCUUUCAGUUUGUAUACUGCCGUCGUAUGUUUACCUUUAGAAAGACAGUAAACUUAAAGAAUACUUCUUAUACGUCAGGUCAUAGUGCAACCUAUAUAUAAGCUUAAAAUGGGCUACAUUCCUAAAAAGGGAUGAAUAAAGAACUUAAUUUUUCUUUUGAAAAUGGACUUAGUCGUAAGAUUUUUAAUAAAAAUCUGAACAAUGGAUAUCUAAAGUGUGCACAAAUCGCCCGUCACUCCCCUCUAAAGAGGGGAUAAGUCGUAACAUAGUAGGGGUAAUGGAAAUUGCCCCUAU